rnacentral:lncRNA from 1 species
CUCUGCCUGCCUUCUUCCCCUCUUCUUAUAGCCCUUGGAGAUGCCGUGAAUAUGGAAGGCGAUCUGGGCAUUUUCACCGCGUGAAGAACGCGGUUGCUGGGACGAGGGGGAGAAUGCGGAUCCGGACUUGCUUCUUCGGGCCAUGCUGGAAUCAUUGCGGAAGGAAGAAGAUCUUGAUGCGUGAUCGCUGGGAACGUCGAUCACGAAAAAGGAGGAUGAUGCGGGAUCGACG